UUGCAGGGUCUUUAUUGUUUUGAAACUUAUGUAUGUGUAAUGUUUACUGUUAAUUUGUAUUGUUUAUUUCACGUUAUAUAUUCACUUUAUAUAUUAUCAACCUCACUUGCUUUGGCAAUGUUAACACAUGUUUCCCAUGCCAGUAAAGCCCUUGAAUUGAAUUGAGUGAGAGAGAGAGAAAGAGAGAGAGAGAGUGAAAGUCACUGGCUGUUUAGCCUCACAGCUUGAGGAUAGGUGCUGUCAUUGAACCUGGUGGUCAGUCUUUAGUCACUGGCUGUUUAGCCUCACAGCUUGAGGAUAGGUGCUGUCAUUGAACCUGGUGGUUGGUCUUUAGUCACUGGCUGUUUAGCCUCACAGCUUGAGGAUAGGUGCUGUCAUUGAACCUGGUGGUCAUUCUUUAGUCACUGGCUGUUUACCCUCACAGCUUGAGGAUAGGUGCUGUCAUUGAACCUGGCGGUCAGUCUUUAGUCACUGGCUGUUUAGCCUCACAGCUUGAGGAUAGGUGCUGUCAUUGAACCUGGUGGUUGGUCUUUAGUCACUGGCUGUUUUGCCUCACAGCUUGAGGAUAGGUGCUGUCAUUGAACCUGGUGGUUGGUCUUUAGUCACUGGCUGUUUAGCCUCACAGCUUGAGGAUAGGUGCUGUCAUUGAACCUGGUGGUCGGUCUUUAGUCACUGGCUGUUUAGCCUCACAGCUUGAGGAUAGGUGCUGUCAUUGAACCUGGUGGUCAUUCUUUAGGCUGCUGUACAGCUUGAUGGACCGUAGAGGAUUGAUACAUUUCAAUGUAUCAGGUGGAGUUAAUCACCAGCUAUAGAGUGAGUUGUUGUUUAUGUUUCUAAGACUGCAGGGUGGGAGAUGCAACAAUGUCCUUGAGAACAGCAGGAAGUGUGUUGGGGGUCUUUCUCUGGUCUGUAGCAGUGUUACUGGAUCAGGACGGAGGAAGUGUACACCACUCAGAGUAUCUGUGUCUUGAAGGGGUCAACAGUGGAGCUGUCCUGCUCUUACACAUAUCCCAGUGGCUAUACAAUCACAACCUUCUGGCUCACAAAAAAAUGAUGCUGAGGGGAAUCAUGUGACUGAGUGAUGCACCAGACUACACACGUCAUGUGAAGUACUGUAGCAACAAGAAGAAUGGCCACAUCCUGACAAUCAGAGAUCUGAGAGAGUGUGACUCAGCUAUGUGCAAAGUGUCCAUCCUGACCCUAACUGGGACACACACGCCACUGAAAAUGAGGAUCAGACACUGGCAUGACACGUUCACAUCUCUUCAGAGAGACGCUCAGCACUCCGUGUAUCAGACCAUCCAGGGAAGAGAACCACCACAGAACCUGGAGGGAAGAGAACCACCACAGAACCUGGAGGGAAGAGAACCACCACAGAACCUGGAGGGAAGAGAACCACCACAGAACCUGGACUGAUAGAACCACCACAGAACCUGGACUGAUAGAACCACCACAGAACCUGGAGGGAAGAGAACCACCACAGAACCUGGACUAAAGUGUAUCACCACAGAACCUGGACUGAGAGAACCACCACAGAACCUGCACUUGAGAGAACCACCACAGAACCUGGAGGGAAGAGAACCACCCCAGAACCUGCACUAAAGAGAAUCAUCACAGAACCUGGAGGGAAGAGAACCACCCCAGAACAUGCACUAAAGAGAACCAUCACAGAACCUGGAGGGAAGAGAACCACCACAGAACCUGGAGGGAAGAGAACCACCACAGAACCUGGACUGAUAGAACCACCACAGAACCUGGACUGAUAGAACCACCACAGAACCUGGAGGGAAGAGAACCACCACAGAACCUGGACUAAAGAGUAUCACCACAGAACCUGGACUGAGAGAACCACCACAGAACCUGCACUUGAGAGAACCACCACAGAACCUGGAGGGAAGAGAACCACCCCAGAACCUGCACUAAAGAGAAUCAUCACAGAACCUGGAGGGAAGAGAACCACCCCAGAACAUGCACUAAAGAGAACCAUCACAGAACCUGGAUUAAAGAGCUAUGGCACCAAACCAAAGCUAGUCCUUACACUCUUGCUAAUAUAUUGUUAUAAUAUCUUGAAGGUUCAACCAAGUUACAAAAUGACACAUUGGUUUCCCUUCCCUUUUAGCAGUCUAUGAACAUGGUGUGACAUCAGUCCCUGCUUUGGUUUAUUUUCUCCUGACACUGUUUCCACUUGCUAACGUUUUAGCAUUUGUGGCACAAAUCCCAUUAGUUGAGGUCACUUCCAGAUGAUUUGAACAUGAUGAGAGAAUGUUAAUAUGUGAAAUAUUAAUAUCAGUCCUGUGACUUGAAUGGGAUUUUUGUAAAUGUGGGAGUGUUCGACAUUGCAGCCGACUUUAUAGGCAAGUCGAGAUCUACAAAUCACCUUGCAUGAUGAAUAACUACUCAAUAUUAUUUAUAGAUCAUUCAUUCAGUCACAAUUUACCCAUGAUACAUCAGUUUUGAUGCUCUCGAACACUGUCUGUGUGACUGCUGAAGGAAGCCUUCUCUGCAUAAGCUUCUUGGUCCCUGACAUAGAGUUGGAUAGAAGGUACAUCUUGACAUCUUUGUCAUGAUGAUUUCUGUGACAGAAUGAGCAGCACCAUUGAGGGCUAUUUCAAUAUUCAAGUUGUUAAUAUCUUCAACUUCCAUAAGUUUAAUAACAGUCGAUAUACCAACUGAAAUGGUGUAUUCAAUGGCUUAGCCGUGCUAAAACAGGCUUUGAAGCAAGUACGCCCUCUACUCAACUCUAUUGUCCCUGACUGCUUCAAUGUUGUGUCAACCACAGACUUCAAACCUGACACUCAGUGUCUAUUUACAUAGACUUCCAGUAAGUGAACUUACAACACAUCUCCCCUUCACUCUGUAAGUCUGCUUGACUAUAUCUUACAAUAUGUAUAUUUUAUUAUUUGUUUGUUUCCAUGAACUUCUGUAUCCUGUUAUCUGCAUGGUGAUGCUGUUGUAAUGUAUGUUUUGUUUUUCUGUUAUGUACAGUAUACUCUGUAGAUGUAUUUAUGCGUAGUAAUCUGAUACAGUAUUGUACAUGGGGUUACACAUGUAAUAUUUUUGUAUGGUAUUUUAAGGACUCUCAAAGCAAGAGAUUGUUGUGGAGACUUGUUUGAAAAUGACCUAAAGUAAGAUUGAGAGUAACAGUGAUUAGGUGUAUGCUUCGUAAGAGCUUUAGGAGUAAUAUUAACAUGAGACACAGUGAUGGUGUGUUGUGUUUAGGAGUAGUAUUAACAUGAGACACAGUGAUGGUGGGUUGUGUUUAGGAGUAGUAUUAACAUGAGACACAGUGAUGGUGGGUUGUGUUUAGGAGUAGUAUAAACCUAAGACACAGUGAUGGUGGGUUGUGUUUAGGAGUAGAAUUAACAUGAGACACAAUGAUGGUGGGUUGUGUUUAGGAGUAGAAUUAACAUGAGACACAAUGAUGGUGGGUUGUGUUUAGGAGUAGCAUUAACAUGAGACAGUGAUGGUGGGUUGUGUUUAGGAGUAGUAUUAACAUGAGACACAGUGAUGGUGGGUUGUGUUUAGGAGUAGUUUUCACAUGAGACACAGUGAUGGUGGGUUGUGUUUAGGAGUAGUAUUAACAUGAGACAGUGAUGGUGGGUUGUGUUUAGGAGUAGUAUUAACAUGAGACACAGUGAUGGUGGGUUGUGUUUAGGAGUAGUAUUAACAUGAGACUCAGUGAUGGUGGGUUGUGUUUAGGAGUAGUAUUAACAUGAGACACAGUGAUGGUGGGUUGUGUUAGGAGUAGUAUUAACAUGAGACACAGUGAUGGUGGGUUGUGUUUAGGAGUAGUAUUAACAUGAGACACAGUGAUGGUGGGUUGUGUUAAGGAGUAGUAUUAACAUGAGACACAGUGAUGGUGGGUUGUGUUUAGGAGUAGUAUUAACAUGAGACACAGUGAUAGUGGGUUGUGUUUAUGAGUAGUAUAAAGUAUUUUGUUGGUUUAAAUGCACACACUCAGUAUCACUUCCCUGUUCUCCUUUCCUGUCUGUCCCCUGACAGACAUCCCGAGUCAUAUCAGAAAUCUGUAUAUACACAUUAGACUUUAGAGAACAUGUUCCUCUGUAGCUCAGUUGGUAGAAUAUGGCACCUGCAACGUUAUGGGUUUGGUUCCCAGGACCACCCAUAGGUGCUCUAGUCUAGAACACUGAACCUUCAGUACCACUUUGAUGCAGCUGAUGAGGAGUGAUGGUCAUGGGUGUUUAAAUGGAAUGGGUUCUAAUUGAAUAACAUCAUGGAACUUUGACCUGUAUAUACAGAACUCAGAAGGGCAAGGUAGGUCAUUAAAAUGUUAAUGUUAUAAAUAGUUUAGUCAACACAUUGUUUACAUGGUUCUGUAUGUCGUAUAAAAGACCACAGUGAAAAUUGACACAUUUUAAAUAAAAUUAAUAUAUGCCCAGACUUGUCUUUUACACAAUUUCUGUUCUAUUACAGUAACAGCCUUUUUCUGGCGUGUUGGUCUGGUUGUCAUGUUAAUGUCUUUAAUAAACAGGAAGGACAGUUCUGAAUCCA